rnacentral:rRNA from 1 species
GAUGAACGCUGGCGGCGUGCUUAACACAUGCAAGUCGAACGAAGCACCUUAUUCUGAUUUCUUCGGAAUGAAAAAUUUGGUGACUGAGUGGCGGACGGGUGAGUAACGCGUGGGUAACCUGCCUCAUACAGGGGGAUAACAGUUAGAAAUGACUGCUAAUACCGCAUAAGACCACAGCACCGCAUGGUGCAGGGGUAAAAACUCACGUGGUAUGAUAUGGACCCGCGUAUGAAUAGGUAGUGGGUGGGGUAACGGCCGACCAAGCCGACGAGAAGUAGCCGACCUGAGAUGGUGACCGGCAACAUUGGGACUGAUACACGACCCAAACUCCUACGGGAGGAAGCAGUGGGGAAUAUUGCACAAUGGGGGAAACCCAGAUGCAGCGACGCCGCGUGAGCGAUGAAGUAUUUCGGUAUGUAAAGCUCUAUCAGCAGGGAAGAAAAUGACGGUACCUGACUAAGAAGCACCGGCUAAAUACGUGCCAGCAGCCGCCGUAA